rnacentral:snRNA from 1 species
UGCUUUGCGCAGUGGCAGUAUCGUAGCCAGUGAGGUUUAUCCGAGGCGCGAUUAUUGCUAAUUGAAUUUAUUUACUAUUUUUUUUCCUAUUCUUUUUUCUUUUCUUUUAUUGUGAGAUCAAGAUUUAAUAUUUGUGAUUCUUUGUCCCAUCUGCACAGUGCAAUGUCCUUGGGACAUCCUGUUUCUGGGACACAUGAAGG